UCUAAUUUCAACUCCUUCAAAGCAUUUUAAGCAAAGAAAAAUAAAGAAAGUUGAACAAUAAUAGACAGAGAAAACGAAAAAAAAUUCAAGCAAAUUAGGAUAUAGGGCAAUUUAGUUAUGACCCACAUUAUUAGCGAUUUCAGUUGAUUUUCAAAAUUGAACUCUACCCAACACUUCAAUUCUUCAAUAACCAUUCAAUACUCAAAAGUUUGUAAAAACAAUUAAGCAAUGUGAGGCAUGGAAAGCAGAAUAAGAGACCAUUCUACUUUUGCCUUCAUAACAUAAUACAUGCAAAGACUGAAUCCAAUUGUGCCAAGCCGCCACAAACUAAUUAAGCAAAAAUAACUCUCUCAAGCACAAAUUAAGCAAAGUCAAAUCCUCAAAACCCCAAUUCUAUGCAAAUUGAAGAAUUGUUUUGCCCAACAAUCAACAUUAAGCAAGAAAGCAAGAAGAGUUUAUGGUUCAGAGGGAAAAACAGCAUGAAACUCACUACCGCUGGCAACCAAGGGAGGCUCAAUGACCAUUAUCGAUGUCGUUACCUCUAUCAUCAUUUGUCAUUCAAGCUAGGACUUUUCCCUACAAUGGCGAACUUGCAAAACCAUGCCAGAGUGACCUUAGCACUACCAUCAUCGCCAUCACGAAUUGAAGAAUUGCUUCACCCAAGAAUUAGUUUCAAGCACUAAGAGCUUAUGGCGCAGAGGGAUACUUAACAUCAAAUUCACCGCCACUUGCAACGGAGACUCAACAACCAUUGUUGACAUCUUUACCUCCAUCAUCGUUGCCAUUCAAGUGAGGACCUUUCCCUACAAUGGCAAACUUGUGAAAACCAUGCCAAAAUGACCCUAACCCUACCAUCGUCACCAUUAAAGCCCAACAGCAUCACUACAAUUGCAACAUCAUUACACAACGCAAAAUCUUCCCUACUUAUCAUGACUUCCCAAUGCGACGUCUUUAGGGACCUCGAUAACCAAGGAGGUGAAUAAUAGUGGUAGGGGAUAAUGAUAGAACGUUAGAGAGGCAUGCAGAUUUGUGGGUGUCGUGGCUUGGGGUUGAAAAUGGAGAGGUUAUAAAAAAUUGAUUUGGUGCUUAGAAGUAGGAAUAAAGAAGUGAGGAUUGGGAAGAGAAUGAUAACCGCUAAACUUUUUGAGGGGAAUAUGGCUAGUGUAAAGAAUGAUAUCGAUAAUGUCCUUGAUGAACUUGCACCAGCGAUGUUAUUAUUGUAAAAUCCACAAGUACAUGAAUCGUACAGUAGUACUAAGAUAUCGUUACCACAAGUAUCAAGUUGACUACCAAACUAUGAUUAUAUAGGCUAUUUGGACUUAUGAUUGUAUAUGAG
rnacentral:misc_RNA from 1 species